rnacentral:rRNA from 1 species
UACGGGGGGGGCAAGCGUUGUUCGGAAUUACUGGGCGUAAAGGGUGCGUAGGCGGCUUUCUAAGUUGGAUGUGAAAACUCUGGGCUCAACCCAGAGCCUGCAUCCAAAACUGGAGAGCUUGGGUUCUGGAGGGGAAAGCGGAAUUCCUGGUGUAGCGGUGAAAUGCGUAGAGAUCCGGAGGAACCCCAGAGGCGAAGGCGGCGCCCUGGCUCGCAACUGACGCUCAGACACGACAGCAUGGGGAGCGAACGGG